UACGUAGGGGGCUAGCGUUGUCCGGAAUCAUUGGGCGUAAAGAGCGUGUAGGCGGCCCGGUAAGUCCGCUGUGAAAGUCGGGGGCUCAACCCUCGAAUGCCGGUGGAUACUGUCGGGCUAGAGUGCGGAAGAGGCGAGUGGAAUUCCUGGUGUAGCGGUGAAAUGCGCAGAUACCAGGAGGAACACCAAUUGCGAAGGCAGCUCGCUGGGACGUAACUGACGCUGAGACGCGAAAGCGUGGGGAGCAAACAGG
rnacentral:rRNA from 1 species